CUUUAACAAUCUGGAACAAGCUGAAAAAUUGAAAACAAAUCAAUAUAUCAACGAGGUAUAUUGGUGAGUCUCUCAAAAUCUCAAACCUUAAAGUUUGUCACGCAAAGUUUAUC
rnacentral:sRNA from 1 species